UGGGGAAUAUUGGACAAUGGGCGCAAGCCUGAUCCAGCCAUGCCGCGUGGAUGAAGAAGGCCCUAGGGUUGUAAAGUCCUUUCGACGGAGACGAUAAUGACGGUAUCCGUAGAAGAAGCCCCGGCUAAUUUCGUGCCAGCAGCCGCGGUAAUACGAAAGGGGCUAGCGUUGUUCGGAAUUACUGGGCGUAAAGCGCACGUAGGCGGUCGUGUAAGAUGGGGGUGAAAUCCCGGAGCUCAACUCCGGAACUGCCUUCAUGACUGCAUGGCUAGAGGAUGCGAGAGGUUGGCGGAAUUCCGAGUGUAGAGGUGAAAUUCGUAGAUAUUCGGAAGAACACCAGUGGCGAAGGCGGCCAACUGGCGCAUUUCUGACGCUGAGGUGCGAAAGCGUGGGGAGCAAACAGGAUUAGAUACCCCCGUAGUCCCUGAGCGGGCUGGCAAGGCGCAU
rnacentral:rRNA from 1 species